UCAACAUUGUUUUGUUAUUGUUACAUACCAAAUAAGAAAACGUGUACUGUUACUUGUUAUAGUUUUGUCUUCUUUUUUCUAUCUUAGUUCACAUUGUUUUCCCCCAAAAGAAAUCAUUCAUCAAAAGACAGAGGAAAUAGAUAAGACAGAGAGGGAAGAUGCCCGAAACUAGAGUUGAGGUACCAGAAAUGGUGAUGUUGGAGAUUCUGUCAAAGCUUCCAGUUAAAUCCUUGACACGUUUCAGGUGCGUUUGUAAGCCUUGGUGUUCAUCUUUUCAAACCCCUCACUUCAUUACCAAACAUCAGCAAAACAACCUCCACAACAACAACCUUAAUCUCCUCCUCAAACGUUGUCAGGGUAACACCCAUGAUGACAUCUACUAUUUAUCUCAACUUUCAACUGAGAAAAGCCAAAACUUUUCGGUACAACACAACAUUCACUUACCCUUUUUCGAGGAUUGUUGGUAUGCCCCUGUGGUUUCAGGUCCUUGUAAUGGAUUAUUGUGUUUACAUGAUGCUGAUAAGGUUGCCCUUUGGAACCCAUCAACUAGAGAGUUUAAAACUCUCCCUCAAUCCACAGUCCAACGCCCUCCUUUAGUAGAUUCCACUAGUUUUGGUUGCGUUGGUAUUGGGUUUGAUUCUCAAAGUGGUGACUACAAAGUGGUAAGAUUUGUUACUAAUUAUUUUGAAGAGAAUGAAGAUGAAGGGUUAAUGGGUGAUUGGAACCACCAAGUUGAGUUAUAUUCACUUAAAAGCGAUUCAUGGAAGGAGAUUUCAGUUCCCGGGGUUCAACCUUAUGGAUCUCCUUUGUUUAAUAAUUACGUAAAUGGGUUUUAUUAUUGGCAGGCAAUUGGGGACUCUGAUUACCUUAUUCUCUCAUUUGAUAUGGUCAAUGAAAAGUUUUCUACUUUACCAUUGCCUGAAUUUGGUGGGUCUUUAGCUAAAUACUAUUUGGAACUUUUGGACUUCAAUGGACUGCUUGGUGCUAUUGUUUACCCAAGGGAAGGGACUGACAAAUCUUUUGAUUUGUGGGUUAUGAAUGGAUCAUGGACUAAACAAUUCAGAAUUGACUCUCUUCAUGGAGUUGAGAGGCCUUUGGGGUUUUGGAAAAAUGGUGAAUUGUUUCUCGAGAGCUCGGAUCAUGAACUCGUGUUGUUUGACCCCUCCACGCGAGAGCUUAAAAGUCUUGGUAUCCAUGCUUAUCAGGAAACGAUGCAGAUUAUUGCUUAUGUUGAGAGCUUGGUUCCAAUCAAUGGAAGAUCAGAGCGCGAGGAACUUAUAAUACGUCGGCCGGCUGGAGACGCAUCGAAUUGAUAUUGAAUAUGAAAAUGGAUGGGGACUACAACAAAAGAGGUGCUAAUCAAGGGGAUCAGAAUUCUUCGUCUAUCGUGUGGGGUGUUAGGAUUGUCGUAAUUGUUCUGGUUCUAGUGGUCUCGGGAGUGGUUUCGCAUCAAAAUCGUACCAGUGUUAUCAAGCUAGCUCGGGUUCGGGGAUCAUCGGAGAUUGCUUCACACUAUCCAUCUAUCAUUUGGUACCUAUGAACUUUGGUAUUUUAAGUAUAUGGCCUGUAUAGGGACUUGGUCUUUUCGGUAUAUGUAUUUUGGCCAUUUGUGUUGGCUUGUAAAUAUUAGGUUUGGUUUAUAUAUAUAGCCACGUGAGUUGGCUUAUAAUGGUGAAUUUGAUGAUGUAUAUAAGUGUCCAAAUGGCCUUUGUUUGAGUUUAGUAAUUGCCUUAUAAAUGCUAGUUAUGAUGGUAUUUGAUGCUUGUUGAAAA